GCUUCAAUACAAAUGGUCCAAAGCCCAUGUAUCAUAUGUAUAACCCCUUUUUUCUAUAUAAACCCUUGCACCAUCGAAACCAAACCCGAACCCUAACCCUAAUUUUCAGCUCGUCACAGUAGUAGUUAUGGUGAAGAAGCGAAAGCUCGAGCCCAAAAUCGUCGAGCCACCACCACCGCAAGAGGUUGAAGAGGAAGCAGAGGAGAUAGAAGAAGACGAAGAAGUUGAAGAGGAAGAGUACGAAGAGGUCGAAGAGGAAGAGGACGAAGAAGAGGAGGAGGGUGGUGGCACUCAGAAUGCUGCGAAGAAAUCUGCGUCGACGUCCGCCGUUGACGACGACGACGACGAGGAGCCGAUUCAGAAGAUUUUGGAGCCGUUCAGCAAGGAUCAGUUGAUCAAUUUGCUUCGUGAAGCUGCGGAGAAGCAUGCGGAUGUGGCGGAGAGGUUGAGGAGGGUGGCCGAUGAGGAUCCGGUGCAUAGGAAGAUCUUCGUGCACGGGCUUGGGUGGGACACGAAUGCGGAAACCCUUAUUAGUGUGUUCAAAGACUACGGUGAGAUCGAGGAUUGCAGAGCGGUGUGCGAUAAGCUGUCUGGGAAAUCGAAGGGGUAUGGGUUCAUUCUGUUCAAGACUCGGAGCGGGGCUCGGAAGGCGCUGAAGCAGCCGCAGAAAAAGAUUGGGAACCGAAUGACAGCGUGCCAGCUUGCUUCGAUUGGUCCAGUGCCGUCUCCGGCGGUGGGGCAAGCUGCCAUGUCUGUAUCGGCAGCCCAGUCGGUGUCGGAGUAUACACAGAGGAAGAUAUAUGUGAGCAAUGUGGGAGCGGAGUUGGAUCCGCAGAAGUUGUUGGUGUUCUUUUCGAAGUAUGGAGAGAUUGAGGAGGGGCCGUUAGGGCUAGAUAAGCAGACAGGUAAGCCAAAGGGGUUCUGUCUUUUCGUGUACAAAACGGCGGAGGGUGCAAAGAAGGCAUUGGAUGAGCCGCACAAGAACUUUGAUGGGCAUAUUUUGCAUUGCCAGAAGGCCAUUGAUGGUCCGAAACCGGGUAAACAACAACAGCUACAGCAGCAGCAGCAUCACCAUAACCUGCCGAACACCCACUACACAAAGAGUGAAAUCACUAAUUUUAUGGGGCCUCAAGGGCAUCUCAUGGCCCCAUCGGGGCCACCUGCUAUACCCUAUAAUCAGGGGUCUGCAGCACAAGCUCUCAACCCUGCGCUAGGGCAAGCUUUGACAGCAUUGCUUGCGACUCAGGGUGCUGGGUUGGGCCUGACCAACCUGCUUGGCACGCUGGGUUCAGCUAGUGUUGGGGCGGCAGUGAACCCGAGUGUGGCUGGUGCAGGACAUGGAAUGCAGGGUGGGUAUCCAAACCAGGCGGUGGCUGGUAAUAUUAGCUCAGGAAUGGUUGGAGGUUAUGGGAGUCAGGGGGCCUAUGGGAACCAGCAAAUGGGGCAGGGAAGUUCGAGUGGUAGGUCGCAGCAUGGUGUUGGGCACAUGGGCGGCAUGGCUCCUUACAUGGGUCAUUAGGUGUUUUCCUCAUGCAGCAUGAGCAAUCAUAUUGACUACACUGCACCACUUCUAUUCUUAAUAAUUAGGUUGGCUCUUUUGGAGGGAAUGCUUUUGAAAUACUCAAAAUAAUUCAUGUUGAUUUUCAUUCACUCGGAAAAAAAUUUUACUUUUCAAAAAUCUCUUCUGAAAAAGGCCUGCUUCAUUAUUAAAUAUUGGAUUUGACAUAAAAAUUUUAGUUGAGGCUUACUUAUUGGUCCAAAUGGGGUAACUUUUGUUGGUUAAAUUAUGUGAAGCAGUAUUUGCAAUUGAAUAGUUUUUGUGAACAUUGGCUUUUGACAUUCUUUGAAGGGAGUUUUACAUUUCUAGUAUUAAAAAUCGGAUAGACAGGAAAAUUUUAAAUUGUUUCCAUUUGGACAAUUACACCAGUUAUUUUGGUUAUGAGGUUGUUUUAUAUGUGGUCUAAAUGCUGUUAAAGAACAUAAAGUUUGGGUUCUAUUUGUUAUAGUUUUUUAAGGUAGUUGGAUUGGCUCAAUGCGUUGCCCAUUCUUUUCAAAUGGUUAUUUUAACUUGAUUGCAUUGGUUGAGGUUUUCAUUGAUCUACUCUCCUAUAUGAUCUAUGUUGUUUUACCGCAAGACCCUCCAAAUGGUUGCAUGUAAGUUGAUGAUCAUCCGCUGAGAACUGGCCGAUUCCCCUGGAAUGGAGGUAAGAAACUGCAUAUUUAACCAACUACAGAUAAUAAAUGAGCUUCUUUAUUUGAAUUGCAAUUCUAAUGUUGUAAAUUUUCUCAGCAGUUGAACUAUAAAUAUAAUCUAAAAGUCUUAUUUUAUUUAACUCUAAAAUUCAGAAAAUCUGCUGAGGUCCUAGCAGCUGAAAAUGGGGCAAUGGUUUUUCAAUUCUUUUUGGAAACUUCUUGAUAGGCUGGAGAAUUGGUCGCAUUGCUGCCUGGCAUUGGCAAUGCAAAUAAAUGUUAAUACUACUACUAGUAAUAAUAAUAUUAUUAUGAAGGGAAAUUUCUGUAAUCAAUGGUUUUUAACCUUUGGACAAUUUCUGGAAUGUCAGUGUGUGUACUGACAUAAUUUUAAGUUUUGUUAGGAUUAAUAUUUUUAAGUUGAAUAAGAGAACUUUAUAUUUUGCUAAUAAAUAAUUUUCACAACCUGAGGCAUUUUGUUAUUGAGUUAGGAAGAAGUCCGAUCUUGUGGGGAAAAUUAUUUAGAAAGAAGCUAUCAUGUGAUGCAAUGUUGCAGCUAAUUGGUAUUGGGAUUGCUUUCCAUAUGGUUAAUGUUUUAGAGGUUUGAAGUUCAUGCCCACUAAGGUUUCUUUCUGUAAGUUGUAAUCUUUUGAUCUUUUUAUGUGUACUCUAAUAUUUAUAUAGGCAUAAAUCAAAUGUCAACUGUGACAUAUGACUACACGUAUACAUGUAGGUGUAAACUAGUAAAUUUUAUUGUUGCUUUGUAUUUUUAUGAACGAAUGCUAACUAUUUUUUUUUUCCUUCUUUUUUGGAAGAAGACAUAGCAGCUUUAGAAAGUAGAGUUUUUGACUUUCAAUCUGUGCUAUAUAAACAUAUAUGUACUUGUAAGUAUAAAGUGAGAAUUCUAUAUGAUUUUAAUUCUUUAUAAAAAUGCCCUAACAUUCUCUUGGAGGUUUAGAACCCUAACAUUCUGUUUGAGGAUGAGACCUUAAUCUUUGAGUGCUGUCUGAGGUUAAUUUAAAAUUUUAAAAGAGGAUAGUCAAUUGUUUUGGGUUUCCUUUUCUUUUGCCUUUAUUUGGUCUAAAUCUCAUCUUUCACCUCCUUUGUUUCUUUUUUGCCUUUUUUCCUUAUUGUCUGUGUGCACAAUAAGGUUGUAAAUUAUUAGUUUGAUAUGACAUUUUUUAUGGUGUUGAUUAAAUGUUCUGUUUUGGAAAUCUUCAGCUGAUCUUUGGAGCGUAUGUUACUUCUUCAGGAACCUUUUAAUUUGGUUCUUGGUUUGUUUGGAGGGGUAUGGGAAGUUUGUUUUGGAGAUUUGGCAUAUGCCUUUGACCCAAAUUGAAGCUUUGAAAUCCUGUAACACCAUUUUUUACCAACUUGGGUACCAAAAAUUGUUUUUUUUUGUUCUCUACCUUGUGGCUUUCAUUAUGCAGUUUUUGAAUUAUUGCAUAGGGCAGGAUUCAUGCUAAACAGAUGAUACUUCCUGAUGUUUGGAGAUCUCCUCGACUCCAGGCACCAUCUAGGAGUUUUGCACCUCUGUCCCUGUGAUCUUGUCUAUCACACUUUCUGAGAUCUAAAUGGUGGAAUGUGAGAAAUGAAAUUGAACUACGUUUAUAAUGGCAGAAGAUGAUAAAGAUGUCAAGUCAUUUAAGGAUUUGGGAAUAUGUGAGCAAUUGGUCGAGGCUUGUGUAAAUUUGGGAUGGAAAACCCCAUCAAAGAUACAGGCUGAGGCCAUUCCUCAUGCACUAGAAGAUGGAGCAAGAACGGAUAAAGUUUGGGAAAUUCACUCUUCCAGUGUUUCCUAAAAGUAAUCUGUCUUUUCGGAUUUAUAAAGAUAUAGAAGGAUUAGACAGAUCACAAAAAUGCAUUUUAGACAACCUCUGAAAUGUCAAAAAUGAUAUUCAAAAGUUAGAAGCUUUAAAUGCUUUGUCUUUUCAUUUUAAAUAGUUAAAUGAUAAUUUAUACAGUUUUCCUAA